AGGGUUUGAUCCUGGCUCAGAACGAACGUUGGCGGCGUGGAUUAGGCAUGCAAGUCGAGCGGGAUUCUAUUUCUUCAAUUCUUCGGAAGAGAAAAUUUAGAUGAGAGCGGCGAACGGGUGAGUAAUAAAUGGGUAAUUUGCCUCUUUGUUCGGGAUAGCCAUCGGAAACGAUGAUUAAUACCGAAUGUGUUCGGGUGCUGCAUAGCACCUUAUAUAAAGGCGGGGAUUCUUCGGAACCUGUCGCAAGGAGAUAAGCCCAUUUCCUAUCAGCUUGUUGGUGAGGUAACGGCUCACCAAGGCUUACGGGUAGCUGGUCUGAGAGGAUGAUCGGCCACACUGGAACUGAGACACGGUCCAGACUCCUACGGGAGGCUGCAGUCGAGAAUCAUUGUCAAUGCACGGAAGUGUGAACAUGCGACGCCGCGUGGAGGAAGACGGCCUUUGGGUUGUAAACUCCUGUCAGCAGGGAGGAAUUACGGGUUCCUUAAUACGGGAUCCGUUUGACAGUACCUGCAGAGGAAGUCACGGCUAACUCUGUGCCAGCAGCCGCGGUAAUACAGAGGUGGCGAACGUUGUUCGGAUUUACUGGGCGUAAAGGGUCCGCAGGCGGUCUUGUGUGUCGGAUGUGAAAGCCCACGGCUCAACCGUGGAAUUGCAUUCGAAACUGCAAGACUAGAGUACUGGAGGGGAGAAGGGAACACUUGGUGUAGCGGUGAAAUGCGUAGAUAUCAAGUGGAACACCGGCGGCGAAGGCGCUUCUCUGGACAGAUACUGACGCUCAUGGACGAAAGUUAGGGUAGCGAAAGGGAUUAGAUACCCCUGUAGUCCUAACCGUAAACGGUGUGCGCUAGGCGUGGGUGGCUUUACCCCCAAUCC
rnacentral:rRNA from 1 species